rnacentral:lncRNA from 1 species
CAGAGGUAAGAACGUCAGCCGUGAUAGUUUCAGGUCUGGGCGUGGAUCUGGACGAGUAGUUAGGGGUUCAUGGGUUCGUCCUGAUUCACGUGGUUAUGCUACUCGUGGGAUGAGAGGAAUUAGUAGCCGUGCCCCUCCACCCAGUCUAAAGAGGCCUGUUGGACUAAGAGAUAGACGUCCUCUCAUGUCUGCACCAGCUAGAGGCAGACCUUUAUCACCUCCCCCUUCUAGAUCCUAUGACAGAAGAGCCCCUGGUAUAGCUCUAUCCUGCUUCAUGUCUACCUGAAUUCUUCAUUUUUUGAGAUUUAAAUUUCUUACUUCAAUCUUUUUUGACAGUUAUGCCAUAUCCAAAGGGUAGCUUUAAGAGGGAAUAUAGUCAACGUGAUGAGCUUCCUCCUCCAAGGAGCAGAGAAGUUAUGGAUUAUGGAUCUAGGGUUGUCCCUGAUAGACGAUCCACAUAUAGAGAAGAAUAUUCUUCUCGCAACCCUGGUUACUUUGAUUUGCCUAGAACCACAUCUCGUAAUGCAGCGAGAAGACCGUAUGGAGAUGAUGCAUAUGCCCAAAGAUUUGAAAGACCUCCUCCUAGUUAUCGUGAGGGGCGUGGCCGUGAUUAUGACACUAUUUCUGGCUCAAAAAGGCCAUAUCCUGUUAUGGUUGGUCCCACAGUUCCUUCAAGUAAUUAUGUCAUCAUUGGCAUAUGAUUUAACAAUUUCCUAGCUGAUUAUGCCGUGUACUUGCUUGUUGAAUCAGGAUGAUGUCCCUCCACGAUAUGCUGAUGAUGGUCCGAGGCAUUCAAGGGCUCGUCUAGACUAUGAACUUGCUGGUGGUGCUCCUCCAUAUGUGGAUGCAUAUGGUGAUAGGUUUGUUAUUUAGGAGCUUUUUGGUGUUUAUUCUCUUUGUUCUGGAGCUUUAGUUAUCUUUUGUCUUAUUUUGAUAGGCUUGGGAGAUCCAAUCUAGGAUACGGUGGCAGCAGGAAUUCUAUAUCUAGUCAGACCUCACAUGGGCUAUAUGGCAGUCGUCAGGGCAUGGGCUAUGGUGGAGGUGUGUUCUAAGUUGCUGCUGAUUUGUUAAAAUUGAAAGAAGAGGGGUUCCUCCUGGGUGGGGUGGACGUAGUGUUGGUGUUUUCUGGUUUAAUGACUUACAUUUGGUCUGGUUUUCAGGUUCUUUUAGCAGCAGUGAUGUUGGAGGAAUGUACUCAUCCUCUGGUUAUGGUGGUGAUUACAUACCUAGGGGAUCUGGUGUAUGUCCUUUUCCUUCUUUCUUUUGUUUGAUAUUUUAAAAACUAUACUAGCCUAUAUCGAUGUUCUUUUUCUGCUUCCAUGGCAGGUUGGUGGUAGCUCUUACUCAUCCAUGUACUCCAGUCGUGGUAUGGGUGGUAGCAGUUACAUGGGUGGUGGGGGUGGUUCUGGGUCAUACUACUGAUGUAAGUUAAAUUGUUUUUAUCCCUUUUACUUUUCGUGUUGUACCUGUGGACGUGUAAUAAUUAUCUUCUGCAGUAGUAUGCAUUUCUAAUGUAGAUUAGGCUUCCUGAAGAAGAUGGUUUAUAUGUUCUGAGAGGUGUAUUAGCAAGGUGAAUUUGUCCAUGAAACAGAUUUCGGAGACAGUGAGGCUUCUGUAGGGUGUGGAGCAUUCGAAGCUUUGGUUUUGGUACCCAUGGUAUUGGAUAGAAGCAUGCCAAGUGCUAUAGCCUCCAUACAUGUUAGUACAAGGUUUUGAGGCUUAAGUUCAAUGUGAAAGGCAGGGUGCUGGUUCAAACUGUUUCUAGUUUCAAGAUCAGGUUACUUGUGAUAGUGCGUAUUCAAGUUUAUGGUGUAAGGAAAACUAAUCUUACGUAGAGAUUAAACAGCAAGUGCUUAGAAUAUGCUGUAUAUGAACAAUAUUUGCUUUUGUAUUUAAGAACCCUACCAAUGGAUAAUUUGGAAGCUUUUGUUACGAACUCUACUGGGCUGAGUAUUUGAGCGAGGAUUAAGUCAUUAAUUUACAUUUGGUUAUGGAUUUUGGAAAAUUUGGCAUGCUGAACUCAACUGGUAAGUGUUGAUAAGGUAAGAAACAAGGCAUUAACAUCUUUCCUUAAGGGUGAUAAGCACUAAGAGAUCAAAUGGUACCUAUACCUGAAGAUUAUGUGAAAUCUUUAGAGGAUAUUCUUGUAUGCUUUUUUUGUACAAGCAUAUUGUAAUUCUUGGAAGUGGUGCUUGUGAAGCCAUGUACAUGCCAGGAGGAAAUUAAAGACUUACUUAACCUGAUCUGGUAAAGCUUGUACACUGUAGACACAUACUAACUUUUGUUUUGGCUUGAUUUUUCUAUGGGAAUUCCCGACUAAGACGAAAUGGACUUGAUUCUAGUACAGGAAAGGACAUGGCUUCAACACCUGACAUGUUUGAUUCUUUGGUCACUGUUGCACUUUUUAGUUCUUUUUGUUGGUAUCUUUCUUGAGAAAAGUUUCGUGUGUUCAAUUUUUUUUCAUUUUUCUGGUUUUGGGUUGUCCUUGGCCUUGUGGUGUAUGCUUGGCAAAGAUUUUGAACUUUUUGCUUAUGACCCAUAGGAAAGUAUCUGUUUCUUACUGAAGGACCACUUCCUAAUGUCACAGCGGCUGCUAUUUCUUUUCUCCCUUGUUAUUGUUUGAUGAAGCAUCUCUAUAUGAAGCUGUGCUCUCCAACUUGAGUUAUAUGGAUUUUGGGGGAAAUUUCUGUUUCUCAUUAUGAAGCAUCAUGAAAUGGUUUAUAGUUGUUUUGGCAAGUUGUUGGUAAAUGAAACCCUUGUGGAGGCAGUGCCUUACAAAUUGGGCUUAGAAGAGAAAUGAUUUUGGAAAAGUAGAAUUCUAAUUUGCUCAGAAAUCAAUGAAGCUGUGGGUUUUUAUGUUGGUGAUUUAAAAAAUGCUUUUUUAAGAAAACAUACUGAGCACAACCUUUAGUUGGAGUUGCAAUUUGUUGAAAUCAUUGGCUUUUUACUAAAUUGUACUUGAGAAUAAGUGAGUUGCCUUCCCUCCCCCCAAGUAUUUUAGUGACGUUAUAAGUUAAUAAGAUGCACUUCGAACUUUAUGCUUGAGAAGUGUAAAAAGUAUGGUCUAACAAGAUGUAUAAUGUCAUACCUACGGGGUCUUCAUUAUGUUCAAUGAUAUUUAGUCCAUGGGUGGUUUAUUCUCAGUUCAAUGUGAAUAUUUAAGCAUAACGUCAUGUAAAGUAUUAAUGUAGGAUCAAAAUUGUUAGUUAACAGGCGAAUGGUUGGCCAGAUCUGCCACCGUUACUGAGCUCUUCACAGUUAAAAACUUGAUUGGUAUGCUUGUUCCAUCUCGCUUGGGCUGGUGCUUUAAAAUUAUUAGCAGGACUGCUACUUGUUUAGCAACCCAGCACUUUGACAUGAUGCUGGUUCUUGCUUUUGUAGUUUUUUUAUUCAUGUUAUUUUGGUCUCAAAUAAACUUGCGGGAUAGUGCAACAACAAGGCAACCAUGAUGCUGUAUAUACUAUAUUGCCUGUGGUGUUUUUUCUGGCUUGCUCUUUUUCCCCCUUUGGAAAUUUAGUUACUUUGGCAAAUAUAUGGAUUUAUUGGUUGUAUCUGUGCUUGUUUCCGAGUUUGGGGGUCCAAAUCUUAUGUGCUCUGGGACUGGCCUGCGAAAAGGAGAGGAUCACAAGUUACUAAUUCAGUAAUAAAAUUAGGGGUGAGAGCGUAACUGCAUGCCUUCAUGAACAGACUAGGCAUAAGGAAGAGAAGGCAAUAUCUGUUUUUGAUGAAUGGCACAACUUCUAUGGUAGGCAUUGGCUCGUGGGUCUUUGCUGAUAACAUUAGUGCACAACUCUGUUCCCAAACAUUUUCUUCCUUAUUAUUUAUCCUGACUUUUUUUUGCCCUUAUAUCAAGUGCUCUUUUGCCCCAUUCUUCAUUAUUUCCUAGACUUGAUUUUGAUGAUGGUGCAGCAUGCCGAUAACUUGGUUUAGAAAUAUUAUUAUUGAUCCAUUGUUAUUAUCGCUGACUAAAUUCCAAAUAAUAAUGAACUAAUAUCUAUUGCAUUUAAGCUCAUGAAUGAUGACCGAUCGACAUAAGAUGUUUAAUGGCUUUGCAUCUGAAAGUGCUAAAAUUUGAUGUUACUGACAAUUUCGUUCCAGGUUUAUGUGUCGGCGUGUAUGUUGUAUUUCCAUGGAAAUCGAUCUACUUUUCUUCUCCGAAAUCGAUUUUUUAAAUCAACACCAUCUUUGCUUUUCUUUUAUACGUACUUCAUUCACUGGUAGCUUUGAAUUCAUGGGACGGUGUUUUCUGGGAGUGUCUCUCAACAUGUCAUCACUAAUUAGUUUAUGAUGUUAAUGGCCAAAAGAAAUAAAAGGAAAAUAGUUGCACUUUUUAAAGAUAAACGAUUAUGUAAGUUUUUAGAAACAAAAAGGUUAAAAAGUCCCAUUUAGUCACUUCCAUUUUCGACAUUAGUAUUUUUUAAAAAUAAAUUAAUUUUUGUCAAUUUUGAAAGUACUGAUUUCAGUAGUAUGUCCAUCAAAUGUCACAAUCAAGUGUAAUGUAGUAAAAAGUCAAGCUAGUACCUAAAACCAGUAAACGUGUUAUUCCCCAUUGCCAGUAAAAUUGCAGAUGAAAUUGGAAAGGAUGCUGCCUUGAUACUUGGAUCGAGGACAAUAUAUAUCUUCACAGUUUGUACUUGGACGACGAAUAUCCGACUAGUCAAAUGGAGGAUAAUGUUGUCCGCGCAGUAGUAAGCUCUUUGUAAACAAUAUAUGACAAAGCCAACAAAGAGCAAAAGAAUGUAUGGAAUAAACGGCGGCAACUCCACCAUAGCAAGACAUUCCCCUGCUAGUUAAUAUGUAAGGGGCAUGUAUACGACUAUACAACAUUUCAGCUGCCGAUUCAACCAAUUCAUUCUGUUCUUCAGCGAACAUGUCACCUAUAAAACCCCAAAAUGUGUACUUAAUAGCAAGAAUCAAUGUGCGUGGAUGACUGACAAGUCCACAGAAACAAAACUUUAACAAUUAUACGUGUCAACACAAUUAGUGACUUGUUAAGGGUUCAAUCAGGUCCUCAUGGAUAACCAUCCCAUUAAAUACAUUUUCAAGUGACUCAUUGUUGAACCAUACAAAGUUGAUUGUCCGUGAAUUUCUUUUAAACUAGUUAAGAAUUCGCUCGCAUAUGAUCAUUUGUUUUUAUCUUUUAAAAGAGAACAUAGAGAGAUUACGAAACUAUAACGAUUGUACAAUUUUUAUAAGGAGAACACCAAAGUAGGAUCACAUAGUGCUAUUACUAUACUUGACAACUGACAUGUAACAAAAAUGCUACUUAACUGAUCACACAAACAACCUACUAUUUGUAUUGCCAGGUGACCUGAUUCUACCAAAUCAUGGAACCUCCCCUAUAUGUACCAAAUAUUGUUAAGUGAAUAUGUUGGAUAUAGGUGUUAUAUCUUAAUGUUUUAAACAUAUUUACUGGUUUAAAUAAAUUAUAUAAUUACAAAUAUAAGUUUUCUCAUAUAAAGGAAUCAAGAAUCUUUAAAAGAAAACCUUCCUAUUGGACUAGAAGUCUCAAUGUGCCAAUGAUUAUUGCUUCUUGCUUUUAUAUAUUUACGUGGAUUAUUAUUUUAUUUUUUGUUUCUUAAAUGAUCCAUUGAAGUGAACUCAAUAAUUAAUUUUUUAUGUUUUGUAAGUUCAUUAAGGAUUAGACAUUGAACAUAAAUCUUUUAAUUUUAUAAAUCAAGUUAAAAAAUUGUGAUACAUAUUAUCUUAUAUUGUUCAUUUAAGUAGCAAAAGGAUGUGCGAUGUGGUUUUAAUGCAGAAAACUCAAUCAUUAAAUAUAACAAAUGAUGAUAUUUUAUUUAUUGUUGAUUUUAUUGAUUUCUUGAUCCAUGAGGUCUAAGUUUAAUAAUUGCAAUAAAAAUGAUUAAGAAAAAUACAACAGUUUCUUAUUGUGGAAAUUCACUUCUUAAUUAUCCAUAAAUUUUCUUUUAAGAAAGUAUAAUAUGAAUUUACAAAACGAAGCGCAAAAUUUUUAUAAGAACCUGCAACGUUACUGAUUUCUACGGAGGAAGAUUACGGUACUAUAACAGUGCCACGUAAGAUUAGAAGGCGAGCGAGGGAAGAUCCUAUGCGGCUAUGCUUCAGCUUCUACCUUAAGAUCCAAGCAAGGUGAUAAUGUCAGCUGCUUCACUCUCCAUGCUUUCCACGUGUCUUCGUCGCCCAAUAUAGUUUAUUCUCCGAUUAGAAAUACCUCUGUUUCAUUAAACUAAUAAUAAUAUAUCAACACUUCAAAAAAAUAUCAACUGUAGAACGUGUAUCAUGAUUUUAUUUAAAUAAUAUCUUUAAUCAUUAGGCCGUAAAUUUAAAUCGAUAAGAAAUUACAUUACGACACAUUCACAAUAUACAUAAUAAAUUUUGAAAUUUAAUAAAUAUUUAAAUAUGAAUUUAAUUAAAAUAAUAAAGUUGAGAUUAUAAAUUAUAAUAUUUUGACUAUGAAUUUCAUCGCAUAUAAAUAGUUUUUUUUUAUAAAAUUUACAUGAACAUACAAAAUUAUCUUCAAUUAAUAUGUAUUGAUGUAACGCUUAAAAUUACUAAUAAUCUUUAUCCACCCCUAAAUGGGAGUAUAUUCAUGCUUCCAUAUUCUCUUGUUCUGAUAAUAAUAUUGAUAUCAGCCGAACUAUUACUCAAUUAACAUAAUUUGUUGUAACUUUAUAAUUGAACAUGUCAGUUAAAAUUGUAAUAUAAUAUAGAUAGAGAGAUUAAUAAUAUUACAAAUAAGAAUGGUAUGCAUCUAAAAUUUUUAUAUUUUAAAAAAUGAAAUGUUUUUUUUAAACGUGACUCAAUUUUCUGAUUUUUUUUUUACAAUAACAAUAUUAAAAAUAUAAAAUGGCGUGGGAAAUAAAUUAAUUUUUUAUUAGUACCGUGACAGUAUUAGUACGUAUUUUUUAAAAAUAUCACUAUUUUUAUGGGUAUACGCAUUAAAAAAGCAAAAAAAAAAAAAGAAAAUUGCUGAAAAAAAAAGAUCAGAUGAAAACGAGAAAAUGAAAAAGAAGAAGCUUGAAUUAAAUCAAAAGACAAACUUUAGGACACUAGCUGCCGCUUUGUUUUGUUGUUGGGAGAAUUAAAUUAGAAAGAAAUUUUGGGAAGUGAAAUUAACCAUAGAUAACUAUAACUAUAAUAAAAACAAAAAUAAUUUUGGGUUGAGAAAAUUAAAUUAAAAAUAUGUAUUUUAAAAAUUUUAAAAAUAUAUAUUUUCAGGUGACACUGAUAAAAAAAAAACACAUUUAAACUUCAACUGCUUUUUUUUUCUCUAUAUUAAAAAAGAAAGACCACAUUUUUGUCUAUUAUUUUUUCAAAAUAGCGAUCUAUAUAUAUCAAACGAUGACAUAGUCCGUGCGCGCGCAUAUAUAUAUCUAAAUAAACCAGGAGACCAACCUCAAACCGUGUAUUAAAUUCACCCUAGAACCAGAUUUCCAAAACAAAAUUCACGUCUUUUUCCUCUUUGUCACUCUCUCUAUUCCCCCCGUUUCAUUCGCAUACUUAGGGUUAGGGUUUUUUAUUGCGAUUUUAGAUAUUUCCUUAUUUACUUCUCUUUAACUUAGGAUAUUUAAUUUGGAUUCCGUUUCGACUUAUCUAGGAGUUCUCAUCAAUCCGUGGGUUUUAAUUUUUCUCUUUGUUCUAUCGGAAGUUUCAAUUAUCCCUUUUUCCUUUAUCGAAUUCAGAUAUCUCAGUCGUGUGGUUUCUAAACAAUGCCUCCUAGAACCGUGAAGAGAGGAGCCGCGGCCGGUGGUCCAAAGAGAACGCCGAGGUCCACUAGAGGGGCGUCCAAAUCCGAGAAUCCACCAGCGGAGCCUGUACACGAGGCCGUGAAUUCAAAGGAGGCUUCAGUUCCAGUUGAGGAGGUCGUGGAGGCCGUUAAGGCUGUUGAGAAAUCAACUCCGGAGCAAAAAGUGGUGAUCGAGGAGAAAGGGGUUGUUGAGGAGGAAAACACCGGUUUAAAUUUGAAUUCCAAUGGGUUGGUUGCGAUGAAGAGUAAGUCUUUGGUUUGCUUUUGGUUCAUCUGAUUUGCUUUCAAUCUGAUGGAUUUGGGCAUCUGCAAGUUUGAAAAUUGUAUGGCACGUCGCCAUUAUACAAAACUGUAGCUUUUAUUGUAGUUUUGUGGGCUAUUCCUGGAAUUUAGCAUGUUAUAAAGUGUCUGCUUUCCGUUGGAUCAUAUUUGGUAUCACAUAAACGUAUCCUUGUCCAUUUAUUUCCCUUUCCGAGAAUUUGCAAGGUUCACAAUCAUUAUCUUUACGAGAAUUUGGAUUGUUGAGAUAUUUUUGUUUCUAUUAGAAUUUCGUAUCAAUUGCUUUAAGGUGAUUGCUUCUUGGCUGGCCUUGAUUAUUCUAUCCCUUCUUUGUCGCAGAAGAGAAUGACUCUAAGGAGUCUAUCGAGGAGUAUGAAAAAGAUGAGAGGUUAGAGUUGGAUGAUAAUGAACCUGAAUAUGAAGCUGAAGAAUAUGGUGGGGUGGAUUAUGACGAGAAGGAGAUGGAUCCUGAUGAAGUGGAAGAUGAAGUAGAGGAAGUGAUUGAGGAGGAGCAGGAUGGUGAGGACGAAGAUAUUCAUGAAAUUGAAGUAGAAGGUGAUGCCGAUGAUGAUGAGCAUCCUGGGGAGGAAGCAGAGCAUGCAGAUUUGGAUGAUGCAACCGAGCAUGAAGAGCGACAUGAAGUUGUUCAAGAGAGACGCAAGCGUAAAGAGUUUGAAGUGUUUGUUGGGGGCUUAGACAAGGAUGCUACCGAAGAUGAUAUCAGGAAAGUGUUCAACCAAGUGGGUGAAAUUGCUGAAGUUAGGUUGAUGAUGAACCCUCAAACAAAGAAGAACAAGGGCUUUGCUUUCUUGCGAUUUGCAACUAUAGAACAAGCAAAACGUGCAUAUACUGAACUUAGGAAUCCCGUGGUAAUUAUUCUGUUCUUCAAUAAUAUUACUUUUCUGAAUUUCAAAAUGGAUCAACUCUAAAACUUAAAACUAUUUUGUUCUAAUGACUGCAAUUCUAGAUUAAUGGAAAACAGUGUGGUGUUACCCCAAGUCAAGACAGUGACACCCUUUUUCUGGGUAAUAUAUGCAAGACAUGGACAAAGGAAGCAGUAAGUACAUGGGAUUAUUUAAGGUCACUAGCAAGUGGGCCAUCUUUGUAAAUGUUUAUAAGUAGAUAACAUGUGUUCGUUAUUGACUGUUGUUCCAGUUGAAAGAGAAGUUGAAACAUUACGGAGUUGACAAUGUUGAGGACUUAACAUUGGUCGAAGACAGCAACAAUGAAGGAAUGAAUCGAGGCUUUGCAUUUUUGGAAUUUGCAUCCCGUUCAGAUGCGAUGGAUGCUUUUAAGCGCCUUCAACGGAGAGAUGUUUUAUUUGGGGUUGAUAGGCCUGCAAAGGUUUCUUUUGCAGAUUCCUUCAUCGAUCCGGGUGAUGAAAUCAUGGCACAGGUAAUUUACUAAAACAAAUUUUCUUCUAAUAUAAUUUGUGGUUGGGUUGCUAUGGUUUGGUCCCAAGCUCUCAUGCCUCACAUGCCUCUUGCCACUAAGCCAAGAGGUGGUUGGCUACAAAACAGUUUUAGUUGGCUACAAAACAGUUUUUCUUUUUUGCUUCAGGUGGCAUGAGCUACGGGGCUUGUUGGAAAUCAUAAAUGUAUUUUAUUGUGAGAGCUUGAUGAUUUUUUCUCCCAAGUUCAGGUUAGGACCAUAUUUAUUGAUUGCCUGCCUCCUUCUUGGGAUGAGGAUCGCGUUAGAGAGCUACUAAAGAAGUAUGGGGAGAUUGAAAAGAUUGAACUUGCCCGGAACAUGCCAUCUGCUGACAGGAAGGAUUAUGGUUUUGUCACAUUUGAUACUCAUGAUGCUGCUGUCACAUGUGCUAAGAGCAUUAAUAAUACCGAGUUGGGCGAAGGAGACAUCAAGGUUAGUCAAUGUUCUUGGUGUACCAUGUUGUUUACAUGACUUAGCUAUUACCUUGUCUAAUGGUUAUUCUUUUAUUUCAGGCGAAAGUUAGAGCCAGGUUAUCGAGACCACAUCAAAGAGGCAGAGGUAAGAACGUCGGCCGUGAUAGUUUCAGGUCUGGGCGCGGAUCUGGACGAGUAGUUAGGGGUUCAUGGGGUCGUCCUGAUUCACGUGGUUUUGCCCCUCGUGGGAUGCGAGGAAUUAGUAGCCGUGCCCCUCCACCUAGUCUAAAGAGGCCUGUUGGACUAAGAGAUAGACGUCCUCUCAUGUCUGCACCAGCUAGAGGCAGGCCUUUAUCACCUCCCCCUUCUAGAUCCUAUGACAGAAGAGCCCCCG